rnacentral:piRNA from 1 species
AAACCAGUCAGGGGAAUAGUAAUG